GUCGAGAAUCUUCCGCAAUGGGCGAAAGCCUGACGGAGCGACGUCGCGUGGAGGAUGAAGGCCUUCGGGUCGUAAACUCCUGUCAGUCCGGAAGAAAGUCUGCUAAUUGGUAGAUUGACCGUACGGGCAGAGGAAGCUCCGGCUAACUCCGUGCCAGCAGCCGCGGUAAUACGGAGGGAGCGAGCGUUGUUCGGAAUUAUUGGGCGUAAAGGGCAUGUAGGCGGUUUUGUAAGUCGGAUGUGAAAUCCCACUCCUCAAUAGUGGAAUUGCAUUCGAAACUGCAAGGCUAGAGUGCAGGGGAAGAGAACGGAAUUCUCGGUGUAGCGGUGAAAUGCGUAGAUAUCGAGAAGAACACCAGUGGCGGAGGCGGUUCUCUAUUCUGACACUGACGCUGAGGUGCGAAAGCCAGGGGAGCGAAUGGGAUUAGAUACCCCAGUAGUCC
rnacentral:rRNA from 1 species